UACAGAGGAGCCAAGCGUUGUCCGGAUUGACUGGGCGUAAAGCGCACGCAGGCGGACGCGCGCGUGGGGUGUGAAAUCUGGCCGCUUAACGGCCAGGCGCCAUCCCCAUACGGCGUGUCUGGAGUGAUGCAGAGGUCGAUGGAAUUGCCGGUGUAAUGGUGAAAUGCGUAGAGAUCGGCAGGAACACCCAGGGGGAAACCAGUCGACUGGGCAUCUACUGACGCUGAGGUGCGAGAGCGUGGGGAGCGAACCGGG
rnacentral:rRNA from 1 species